AAGCCGAUGAUUACCAAAAAUAACCAAAUGUUUGAGUGAUUGUUUGUGAUCGAAUUUUGUCACUAUCGCUGAGGCUU
ensembl:snoRNA T06D8.11 ncRNA